AGAGUUUGAUCCUGGCUCAGGAUGAACGCUGGCGGCGUGCCUAAUACAUGCAAGUCGAACGGAGGUUGUAGCAAUACGACCUUAGUGGCGAACGGGUGAGUAACGCGUUGGUGACCUGCCCCGAAGUGUGGGAUAACAGCUCGAAAGGGCUGCUAAUACCGCAUGUGAUCCCCCGGAUUAGAGGCCGGGUGAUUAAAGGCGAAAGUCGCUUCGGGAGGGGCCUGCGUCCCAUCAGCUAGUUGGUAGGGUAAUGGCCUACCAAGGCGAUGACGGGUAGGGGACCUGAGAGGGUGGCCCCCCACAAUGGAACUGAAACACGGUCCAUACACCUACGGGUGGCAGCAGUAGGGAAUAUUGGUUAAUGGGCGAAAGCCUGAACCAGCAACGCCGCGUGCGCGAUGAAGGCCUUCGGGUUGUAAAGCGCUUUUUGAGGGGAAGAGGAAGGACGGUACCCUCAGAAUAAGUCUCGGCUAACUACGUGCCAGCAGCCGCGGUAAUUC
rnacentral:rRNA from 1 species